CGGGGUUCUUUUAAAAUGCAAGUCGACGAUGAUCCGGUGCUUGCACCGGGGAUUAGUGGCGAACGGGUGAGUAACACGUGAGUAACCUGCCCUUGACUCUGGGAUAAGCCUGGGAAACUGGGUCUAAUACCGGAUAUGACUCCUCAUCGCAUGGUGGGGGGUGGAAAGCUUUUGCGGUUUUGGAUGGACUCGCGGCCUAUCAGCUUGUUGGUGAGGUAAUGGCUUACCAAGGCGACGACGGGUAGCCGGCCUGAGAGGGUGACCGGCCACACUGGGACUGAGACACGGCCCAGACUCCUACGGGAGGCAGCAGUGGGGAAUAUUGCACAAUGGGCGCAAGCCUGAUGCAGCGACGCCGCGUGAGGGAUGACGGCCUUCGGGUUGUAAACCUCUUUCAGUAGGGAAGAAGCGAAAGUGACGGUACCUGCAGAAGAAGCGCCGGCUAACUACGUGCCAGCAGCCGCGGUAAUAAUCGGAUCC
rnacentral:rRNA from 1 species